CUUUACUUACAUCUGAUUAAAAGUGCUAGGGGCUUCCCACUGAAAUUUUUGUGGAAAGUCAAAGUGCCUGCUAAAAUAAAUUUUUUCUUAUGGCUGCUUAAUAAAAAAAGUGUUCUUACUAGAGAUAACCUGUUGAGGAGAGAGUGGAAAGGAGACAAAAACUGCGUGUUUUGUAAUCAGGAUGAGACCAUUGACCAUUUAUCUUUCUCCUGUUCGAUGGCUAGGCUAAUCCAGAACUUGUUGGAAUGUGCUUUUGAUUUGCGUUCAAUGCCUGAUAAUCUGCAUGAUUGCUUUGGUAAAUGGAUAAAAUUGUUUUCUAAGAAUGACAAAAAAAUUGGUACUUAUUGGCAUUUCUGCUCUAUUUCGGGUGAUAUGGAAAUGCAGAAAUGA
rnacentral:rRNA from 1 species